ensembl:lncRNA
GGUGGAUCUUACUACAUGAACCAAUAAGUGAGAGCCAGUGCCAGAAAAAUAGGAAGUCUCGUGUGUUAGUUACAGUUCACAGAAACCUCAAGUCAAACCAAGUUUCCUCACCCCCGCUCUCCCUUGCCCAGUCCUCCCAACCCUACUUCCUCCACACUGCUCUCCCUUCCUUCCAUCCAGGCUACUGUAACUCCCAUCCUCUUGCAGAUCCCAGGCCUCACAGCCAUGUAGGACAAGAAUCCACAGACAAACACUGCAGCGCACAGUGGUCUCCUGCUGCCAGCUCAGCUUGUAUCCACAGGGAUGCCUCCAGCUCUGUUAUAAGCUCUGGGUUUAAAUAUGAAUCCCUGGCUGAUUUCGGUGUAGACUCUCCUUAUGACGAUGGGGGUGUCUUUAAGCAAAACACACACUCAGCAUAUCCAUAUAUCAAUGACAGGGACUUUGCAUUUGACUCUAUCUGUAACUUCGACUCUCUUUACGACAGCGACUCAGAGAAGCAGAACGAGGCCCACGCUGAGCCUGACACGCCUGUUAGCCAGGCACCAGGUUGCACCACACCCUAUAAGAAUAUUGAUGUCAUUAUGACAUAUUCAAACAGCCUCGGUGCUAUGGACUCACUUUAUUCUGCAAAACACGCACACUCACACACAGACCAUAACAGUAACAAGGCCAGGACCUCCAAGGAGCUCCCUCCUCUCCCCACCUACUACCUGUACCACCCAAAGAACUGCCCUCUGCACAAGGGUGCCCCUCCUCGCCUCUCCCCUAUCGGAGCCCUUUCCCCCCCUCAGCGCUCUGGAGCGCCCCCUCCAGGUGCAGCGGGCACCUGUCUCAGCUCCCCGCUUUUUCCCCGCUCGCACACCUUGCCUGCCCUCGCUGCUCCCCUGUACUAUCCCAACCUCUACACUCCUGUCCCACCCAGUGCGCCCCCCUUACCCCCAAAAAUCUACCAGGCUCCUCCACAGUCACGCGUGGCGAGUAAGAUCUCUCUCUCUCUCUCUCUUUCUCCCUACAUCUUACACUCUCUUUGUGAC